CCUCACACUAUCAUCAUGCCUGGUUACCUUUAGCCAUUGUUCCAUGGCUGCGUUUGUUGCUUAGCUGAAUAUGGUUAAAGGACCUGAACCCUAGGACCAUGCCGCAGGACUACCUGGCGUGAUGACUCCUUGUUGUCCCCAGUCCACCUGGCCGUGCUGCUGCUCCAGUUUCAACUGUUCUGCCUCCGGCUAUGGAACCCUGACCCAGCACAACCAGAAGAGGACUGGCCACCCCUCAUAGCCUCGUUCCUCUCUAGGUUUCUUCCUAGAGACACAUGGAAAAGGCAAACAAAGCUGCACAGUUCAAGGCUUGGCAUUUCUGCCCGUCCUUCAGCAGAUGUUAUGAUCCUCCGCCAAGGCCGGGGGAGGGGUGAGGAGUGAGGGCCCCCGGCCCAACGGUGAAGCUCAUCAGCCAGUUGUGUGGCUGCAGGUGGCUCUCUGUCAGUCUCCUGGAGGAGAGCAGAGCUGAGCAGAGUCUAUGAACCAGCCACCUGCCUGCCAUCUGAACAUAGUCCUCCCUGCAGGUCUCUCUCUGCCCUACAGAGACAGAAACCUGACAGAACUCUCACUGUGGUUGUAGUGCCUGUACAUCUCAUGAAAGGUUUCCUUUCCUGGGUUUUCAGUGCUAGUUUUUCUCGACAGUGG